GAUGAAUGCUGGCGGCGUGCCUAAUACAUGCAAGUCGUACGGAAAGGCCCUUCGGGGUACUCGAGUGGCGGACGGCUGAGUAACGCGUGGGAACGUGCCCCAAAGUGAGGGAUAACGCACCGAAAGGUGUGCUAAUACCGCAUAUGGUCUUCGGAUUAAAGCUUCGGCGCUUUGGGAGCGGCCCGCGUACGAUUAGAUAGUUGGUAGGGUAAUGGCCUACCUAGUCGACGAUCGUUAGCUGGUCUGAGAGGAUGAUCAGCCAGACUGGAACUGAGACACGGUCCAGACUCCUACGGGAGGCAGCAGUAAGGAAUCUUCCACAAUGGGGGCAACCCUGAUGGAGCAACGCCGCGUGCAGGAUGAAGGCCCUCGGGUCGUAAACUGCUUUUAUGAGUGAAGAAUAUGACGGUAACUCAUGAAUAAGCACCGGCUAACUACGUGCCAGCAGCCGCAGUAA
rnacentral:rRNA from 1 species